rnacentral:rRNA from 1 species
CUACGGGUUGCUCCAGUGAGGAAUUUUGCGCAAUGGGGGAAACCCUGACGCAGCAACGCCGCGUGAGCGAAGAAGGCCCUCGGGUCGUAAAGCUCUGUCAAGUGGGAAAAAGGCCUUUUGAUUAAUACCCAAAAGGUUUGAUGGUACCACUGGAGGAAGCACCGGCUAACUCCGUGCCAGCAGCCGCGGUAAUACGGAGGGUGCAAGCGUUGUUCGGAAUUACUGGGCGUAAAGGGCGUGCAGGCGGUUUGGCAAGUCAGAUGUGAAAGCCCUGGGCUUAACCCGGGAAGUGCAUUUGAAACUGCAUUUCUUGAGUAUGGGAGAGGAGAGUGGAAUUCCCAGUGUAGAGGUGAAAUUCGUAGAUAUUGGGAGGAACACCUGUGGCGAAGGCGACUCUCUGGACCAAUACUGACGCUGAGACGCGAAAGCGUGGGGAGCAAACAGGAUUAGAUACCCCAGUAGUC